GGGCGUUUUAGAGGGUUCUGAGCAGGGGUGUGACCUGACUUAAUUUAUCUCUUACAAAGGCACCUCCUACUGUGAUGGAGUAAAGCUGGGAAGCCAGGAGACUAGGGAGGAGACCACUGUCACAGUCCAAGCAGGUGGAAGAGCCAGGAGGUCACUUCCCCAGACUGAGGGAUGCCUGAAGUGAACAUGGCACGGCAGGGACUUGGGUGUUUACAGGAACUUCUGUAACCAAUCUCAGGUGUGAUGAAGGAGCUAAAGCAGCCAUUUUGGACUUCACUGGAAGCUGUGGAAUGAAGACAGUAGAGCAACUAGACAGAAGGAACCAGGGUUUCUAGAAUGAACUUGCAGAACUAAACCAGCUCACCAAACUUGGACCUUCCACCUCUGUGCUGGAAUUUAAAUUUUGUCCCAUUGAGCCACUGUGGCUGUCUGUUAUAGCAGCUCAGAUGUAGCCUGAUUUAUACAGAGGGGUAAACACAUGUUGUUGGGAAAGCCUCAGAGGUGUUAACCCAGCCUGACAGGGGUAGGUGUGGAGGGCUUACUGGAGGAGACAACUUUUAGAUGGAGGCUUGACAAUGAGAAGACAGAUUUUUCUAGACAAAGUUUCCAGGGAGAUGCACAGCAUACGGGUAAAUCUGGAGGCAAGAGAGAACAUGGAGCUUUCAGGACACCUAAAGGAGCUGGGGGUGGCUGGAUCACAGGGAACGAUGGGGACAGGUGAAAAUGGGGCUGUAUGGGUGGCAGGAUUUACCUGAAGGGCCUGGAAAAGCCAGGUGAAGCCCUUUGAAUUUUGCCCUGAGGGUAAAGGGGAGCCACUGGAGGCUUGAGGCAGGUGGGUGAGGUGAUUAGAUUUGCUUCUUAGAAAGAUCUCCAUGGCUACGGGGUGGGAAAUGGAUUUAUUCAUUUAUUUUUAAAAAAAACACAGGCUGUGCUACGUGCCAGGCACUGAGGAUUAUCAGUGAACAAAACAGAUUUGGUUCCUAUCCUUAUGGAAUUUGCAACCUGGUAGGGUGAGACAUGAGUCAAAUAACCACGUAAAUAAACACGAAGCAUGAUAAGGCCGAUGCAGGGAGGUAUGUAUGGCUGUGAGGAGAUAUAAAGUGGGGGUUGACUUGGGGGAGUCAGAAGAGCUUCCCAGGGAAAGGUGAUGGAGGAACAGUAGUGGGAAAGGUUCCAGGCCAAGGGAACAGCACAGGCACAUGAGCCCGGACGGCCGCAGGGAGAACAAGGAGGGUCAAACAAAAGUGUUGGUAAAGAUGGAGAAAUACAGGCAUAGAUGGUGAGGAAAAGCAGGGAAUCUCCAUGGCCAGCCAGCUUCUG